rnacentral:rRNA from 1 species
ACGGGUGAGUAACGCGUAGGAAUCUGCCUUGAAGCGGGGGACAACUAGAGGAAACUCUAGCUAAUACCGCAUAAUAUCGAGAGAUUAAAGCUGGGGCAACCUGGCACUUCAAGAGGAGCCUGCGUCCGAUUAGCUAGUUGGUAGGGUAAAAGCCUACCAAGGCGAUGAUCGGUAACUGGUCUGAGAGGACGACCAGUCACACUGGGACUGAGACACGGCCCAGACUCCUACGGGAGGCAGCAGUGGGGAAUAUUGGACAAUGGGGGCAACCCUGAUCCAGCAAUGCCGCGUGUGUGAAGAAGGCCUUCGGGUUGUAAAGCACUUUAGGAUGGGAAGAAGGUAUGUAUUUUAAGAGAUAACAUAUUUGACGGUACCAUCAGAAUAAGCACCGGCUAACUCUGUGCCAGCAGCCGCGGUAAUACAGAGGGUGCAAGCGUUAAUCGGAGUUACUGGGCGUAAAGGGCGCGUAGGUGGUUGUGUAAGUUGUUUGCGAAAUCCCCGGGCUUAACCUGGGAACUGCAAGCAAAACUGUGCAACUUGAGUACUGUAGAGGGUAGUGGAAUUUCCGGUGUAGC